GACGAACGCUGGCGGCGUGCCUAAUACAUGCAAGUAGAACGCUGAAGGAGGAGCUUGCUUCUCUGGAUGAGUUGCGAACGGGUGAGUAACGCGUAGGUAACCUGCCUGGUAGCGGGGGAUAACUAUUGGAAACGAUAGCUAAUACCGCAUAAGAGUAGAUGUUGCAUGACAUUUGCUUAAAAGGUGUAAUUGCAUCACUACCAGAUGGACCUGCGUUGUAUUAGCUAGUUGGUGGGGUAACGGCUUACCAAGGCGACGAUACAUAGCCGACCUGAGAGGGUGAUCGGCCACACUGGGACUGAGACACGGCCCAGACUCCUACGGGAGGCAGCAGUAGGGAAUCUUCGGCAAUGGACGGAAGUCUGACCGAGCAACGCCGCGUGAGUGAAGAAGGUUUUCGGAUCGUAAAGCUCUGUUGUAAGAGAAGAACGAGUGUGAGAGUGGAAAGUUCACACUGUGACGGUAUCUUACCAGAAAGGGACGGCUAACUACGUG
rnacentral:rRNA from 1 species